rnacentral:rRNA from 1 species
CACGUAGGCACCAAGCGUUGUCCGGAUUUAUUGGGCGUAAAGAGCUCGUAGGCGGUUCAGUAAGUCGGGUGUGAAAACUUUGGGCUUAACCCAAAGCGUGCAUCCGAUACUGCUGUAACUUGAGUUCGGUAGGGGAGUGGGGAAUUCCUAGUGUAGCGGUGAAAUGCGCAGAUAUUAGGAGGAACACCGGUGGCGAAGGCGCCACUCUGGGCCGAAACUGACGCUGAGGAGCGAAAGCAUGGGUAGCAAACAGG